CAGAAGUGCAUUUGGUUUAUACUCAUGUAAGUCAACCCCUUUUUGCCCUUGACAGUGGAAUCCUCUCCUUCAGCUUGUGACCUGCUCUUCUGAGGUAGAUGAUGAGGAAGGUCUACGUUCAUAAUUCUGGCAACCCUGAUGCAGUGAUGACUGCCUGCAUUUGCAGAAAGCUCCAAAACCGCAACUAUCCUGUUUCUCUCUGCAAGUGUUAAAUAUUACCCUGCCCACUGCACGUGAGGAAGGCAAGUAUGUGAACUUCUCAAGAAAGAGCUACACAAAUGACUUCUUAAAGACUCAUACUCUCAUUCUGGGCUGAAUCUAACACCAUGCAACAGGCCUCAAAGGGGUACAAGCUGAUUCUACUUUGCCAAGAAGGGUCAGGGAACAGCCCAGCUUCCACACUGGUUAAUGUUGCCCCCAUUGACUCAAAAAGCUGUACAUUUCUGCUUGAGGCUGAAACCUAGCCGCUAAAAUAAUCUCUUGUA